ACGGAAGGCAGCAGUGGGGGAUAUUGCACAAUGGGGGAAACCCUGAUGCAGCGACGCCGCGUGAGUGAAGAAGUAUUUCGGUAUGUAAAGCUCUAUCAGCAGGGAAGAAAAUGACGGUACCUGACUAAGAAGCACCGGCUAAAUACGUGCCAGCAGCCGCGGUAAUACGUAUGGUGCAAGCGUUAUCCGGAUUUACUGGGUGUAAAGGGUGUGUAGGCGGGACUGCAAGUCAGAUGUGAAAACUAUGGGCUCAACUCAUAGCCUGCAUUUGAAACUGUGGUUCUUGAGGGUCGGAGAGGUAACUGGAAUUCCUGGUGUAGCGGUGAAAUGCGUAGAUAUCAGGAGGAACACCGGUGGCGAAGGCGGGUUACUGGACGAUUACUGACGCUGAGACACGAAAGCGUGGGGAGCAAACAGGAUUAGAUACCCUGGUA
rnacentral:rRNA from 1 species